rnacentral:rRNA from 1 species
AAUAGAUACCCGGGUAGUCCACGCUGUAAACGAUGUCAACUAGCUGUUGGCCUUAUGAAUGAGGUUAGUGGCGCAGCAAACGCGAUAAGUUGACCGCCUGGGGAGUACGGUCGCAAGAUUAAAACUCAAAGGAAUUGACGGGGGCCCGCACAAGCGGUGGAGCAUGUGGUUUAAUUCGAUGCAACGCGAAGAACCUUACCUACCUUGACAUACAGUGAAUUUUGCAGAGAUGUGGAAGUGCCUUCGGGAACACUGCUACAGGUGCUGCAUGGCUGUCGUCAGCUCGUGUCGUGAGACGUUGGGUUAAGUCCCGUAACGAGCGCAACCCUUAUCCUUAGUUACCAGCACGUUGAGGUGGGGACUCUAAGGAGACUGCCGGUGACAAACCGGAGGAAGCGGGGACGACGUCAAGUCAUCAUGGCCCUUACGGGUAGGCUACACACGUGCUGCAAUGGCCGGUACAGAGGGCAGCGAAGGGGCGACCUGGAGCAAAGUCUUUAAAGCUGGUCGUAGUCCGGAUUGGAGU